rnacentral:rRNA from 1 species
GACGAACGCUGGCGGCGUGCCUAAUACAUGCAAGUAGAACGCUGAAGAGAGGAGCUUGCUCUUCUUGGAUGAGUUGCGAACGGGUGAGUAACGCGUAGGUAACCUGCCUGGUAGCGGGGGAUAACUAUUGGAAACGAUAGCUAAUACCGCAUAAAAUUGAUUAUUGCAUGAUAAUUAAUUGAAAGAUGCAACUGCAUCACUACCAUAUGGACCUGCGUUGUAUUAGCUAGUUGGUGAGGUAACGGCUCACCAAGGCGACGAUACAUAGCCGACCUGAGAGGGUGAUCGGCCACACUGGGACUGAGACACGGCCCAGACUCCUACGGGAGGCAGCAGUAGGGAAUCUUCGGCAAUGGGGGGAACCCUGACCGAGCAACGCCGCGUGAGUGAAGAAGGUUUUCGGAUCGUAAAGCUCUGUUGUAAGAGAAGAACGGGUGUGAUAGUUGAAAGUCCACACUGUGACGGUAUCUUACCAGAAAGGGACGGCUAACUACGUG